GUGCUCACUUCAGCAGUACAUAUACUAAAAUUGAAAUGAUACACAGAUUAGCAUGGUCCCUGAACAAGGAUGACAGGCAAAUUCGUGAAGCAUUCCAUAUUAAA